GGUUUGCAAGGUCCAAACAUGCCUGCAGUAAGAUUUUAACAUGUACAGCUACAGGUUGGGAAUAUCUGAACAAUAGUACUCCCUCUGUAAACAAAUGCAAGACAUUUACAUUUGUUUACAGAGGGAGUAUAUUAUAUAUUGUACAGCUACAGAGAGAGUGCAUGGAACACUAAGGUGCAAUAUUAUAGGACCAUGACUUAGCACUUAAAUGUUGAGCUAAAUGUGAAGAGCAAACAAUAUCAUCCGUGGCAACCCCUGUGCAAGCAUGUUGAGCUGUUGACUCUAUUCAUAUCCAAAGAACAAGCAACAUCGAGCACCACUUCAGGGGCAUACCACUGAAAGUAUCUCAAUAGGCCACAUGAUAAUGAUGAUCCAUGUAAGCGAGAAACCAAAAGUACUGUAUAUGCUAAGUGGAUUGGAGAACACACUGACUAUCUGCAUUCGGCCACAGCAGUUCAUGAAACUAUGAUUCAGCAGUGAGAGGCGUCCUAGCAUACCAGCCAUGGCGUGGAUCAGCCCGAGACCAUUGCGGAGCUCGAUGCAGCUCUGCUUUUUGUUGCGCGGGACGUCGGCGAGGAGAUGGUUUAUCCCAUCGGCGUCCAGCUCCAAGGUGAUUUUGUACGAGGCAAGAAACUGCAGAAGGCCCCAUACGGCGAGCCGGCCGAGGUCCCUGCAAGUUUCAGGCCUGCCGAUGAUCAUCUCCCUCCAGUCCUCGGCCAGCCGUCUGGCCCGCUCCAGCGUGGCCGCCGACGGCUCGGCCCUGAGGCUGGGGACGCAGCAGAGGAGCGAGGCGCAGUUCUCCCAGUUCUUGUCGCUCUUGGGCUCGGCCCUGGCCAGGAAGUCCCUGACGGCGCCGACGACCAGCGCGUGGGGCUCCGCGGCGCACAGCAGCGCCGGGAGGAACUGCCGCCGGGCGCGCAGGCUCCUCUUGUUGCCCCAGUACAGCAUGUCCGCCAGCAGCGAGGCGUCCCUGUCGGCGCGCGCCGCCGCGAGGUUCCACCUCACGGCCUCCCCCGCGCCGCCUGCGUGGUCCGGCGUCCGCCAGCUGCUCGGCGCCUUCCCCGUCGUCUCCCCGUGGCGAUGGCUUGGGUACGCCCCUAGGAUGGUCUCCUCCUCCCGCUCCUCUUCCUCUUCCUCCUCUGGUUCAAGGCCAGGAGACGCCUCCCAGUCUUCAACGGCGUCGUCUUGGCCGGGAGACCCCUCGAUUGCCAUCUCCGCCCUCCCCUGCUCCCCCUCCUCCUCGUCAGUGAGGUCCGAAGGUGCCCGCUUGGCCCGCCCCCCAUCUUCUUCGUCCNNNNNNNNNNNNNNNNNNNNNNNNNNNNNNNNNNNNNNNNNNNNNNNNNNNNNNNNNNNNNNNNNNNNNNNNNNNNNNNNNNNNNNNNNNNNNNNNNNNNNNNNNNNNNNNNNNNNNNNNNNNNNNNNNNNNNNNNNNNNNNNNNNNNNNNNNNNNNNNNNNNNNNNNNNNNNNNNNNNNNNNNNNNNNNNNNNNNNNNNNNNNNNNNNNNNNNNNNNNNNNNNNNNNNNNNNNNNNNNNNNNNNNNNNNNNNNNNNNNNNNNNNNNNNNNNNNNNNNNNNNNNNNNNNNNNNNNNNNNNNNNNNNNNNNNNNNNNNNNNNNNNNNNNNNNNNNNNNNNNNNNNNNNNNNNNNNNNNNNNNNNNNNNCCCCCCAUCCUCCUCCUCCUCCUCCUCCUCCUCUGGUUCAAGGCCAAGAAACGCCUCCCCCUCCUCCGGUUCAAGGCCAGGAGACGCCUCCCCUUCCUCAACGGCGUCGUACUGGCCGGGAGACGCCUCGAUUGCCAUCUCCGCACCCCCCUGCGACCCCUCCUCCCCGGCAUUGAGGUCCGAAGGCGCGCGAUUGGGCCGCGCCCAAUCUUCGUCCUCCUCGCUGCUGUCUUGGCCCUUGCCCCUCAGCAGGUGCUGGACGGGGUCGGCGGUGGACCGGAGCGCGGCGGCCUGGUGCGCCUGGAGCUGGCGGAAGCGUCGGGCGAUGGAGGCCUGGAGGGAGGAGAUGUGGGCGUCUACGUCGGCCCAGGUGAAGGGGACGGGGAUGGGGGAGGCGGCGAGGAGGCGGUCGAAGGACUCCCGCAGGCGCUGCUUCUUGGCGGGGAGGGCGGCGAUGGCGGCCUCCAGCUCCGCCGUCGACGUCGCCGACGCCAUCGGAGGCCGGCCGGCCGGCCGGUCGGUCGGGCUCGCCGGAGUGGGGAUUCCGGGAAGGGGCUGGGGUUUUCUUGCCGGCGAGCGGAGGGGCUGGUUGGUUGGGGUUUAGAGAGGGAGAGAGAUGGUGGGUGCGUGUCAGUCGGGCAUUCUUCGCCCCCUGUUCAGUUCCGUCGCGGGGCCCACCUGCCAGUCCCUGGCUUGUCUUUUACCGCUUGGUUUGGGGGCAGUUGGGAAGAGGGGGUCGUAUUCAUUUUACUUUCACCGUGUGAGCUAUUUACUGGGUUGGUGGAAUUUAUGAGACUGGGAUUUUAGGUCUUUGAGGAGUGUGCAACUUCUUUUUCAAGUUUUACUGUAAAAAAAGGAAAGAAAAGACUAACAAAAAUGCUUGCACAAACCUUCGCGUAAAAUCAAUGACACACGACUUAGAUGUGCUUUGGUAGAAAUGCAAAUUUCCGUUCCCUAAAAAAAAUGCAAAAUCCCGGGACUGGAAAUAAAUAUCACAUGAGUGAGGCUUUCUGCGUAGGACAACCUGCAUUCGAAUUCUUCUGAAGCUAUGUCCAGUUUGUCCAAUGAUGCUCCGGUUCGCUCGGCGUAUGGCCGGUUAGUUUUGGAGACUAAGGAACUGAUGAGUGAGAGGGAGCUUUUACCUCGGAAAAUUAGCCCCUAGUCAAAAUAGAGUUGCCGAUUGGUUGGCCACCUAUAUAGCCGGUCCAAACGAGCUACGGCUGUGUGGUUGGGCUCGAUUCCACCUUGUAUCGAGGACUUGUGGCCUCUUGACUGUAACUUUAUGAACUUGCAAUAAAACUCCCUUUUGCCUCGCAAAAAAAAAAGAAAUAGAUAUCACAUGAGUGGGGCUUUCUGCAUAUAGGACAACCAAAGGAAAGGCUUACUCGAGGAAAUCUUAACNNNNNNNNNNNNNNNNNNNNNNNNNNNNNNNNNNNNNNNNNNNNNNNNNNNNNNNNNNNNNNNNNNNNNNNNNNNNNNNNNNNNNNNNNNNNNNNNNNNNNNNNNNNNNNNNNNNNNNNNNNNNNNNNNNNNNNNNNNNNNNNNNNNNNNNNNNNNNNNNNNNNNNNNNNNNNNNNNNNNNNNNNNNNNNNNNNNNNNNNNNNNNNNNNNNNNNNNNNNNNNNNNNNNNNNNNNNUGGGGGGGGGGGGUUGCCCAUGGAAUAGUUUGAGAUCCUAGUAGAUGAAAAGAGAAUACUCAGAGGGAUGCUCUGCUAGAAAAUUGAUAAACUGUGAAUAUGGGAGGUAGAACUAUGUUAACUAGAAGAUAACCCGUGCAUUGCUGCGGUAAUAGGUUGCUGAAAAUUUGGGUUGAUAACGUUAUCAUAUGAUUUGUUAUAUUUGAUUUUAUGUGGAGUUGCAAAAUAUAUAUUGAAUAUAAGUAGAAUAACCGGAUGGAAAACGUUUUUAUUGCAUGGUUGAAUGUUGUGGUGGGGCUUUCUUCAUGCAUGGUCACAUGUUGGGGUUGACCUUAUUUCAUGCAUAAUUGUAUGAUGGGGUUAGCAUGCUUGCAUGUUGGGAUAAAUAAAGUAAUGGGAUCACUCUCUUAUGUAUACUAUAUGAUUAACAGUUUUGCUAAGGCUGGUCAUAGUGGGGAGUAAUUUAGGCUAGUGUCAUAUACUAGUGUCAUGUAUAUGACACUAGUCUAAGUUACUACUUUCAUAAUGCAAAGUAAUAUAAUAGUAGUAUCUUAGAUGACUUCAUUUAUUAGCUUGUAGACUCAUCUUGUCUUAAAAAGCGCUAUGCUACAGUAACAUAUUAUGUUACCACCUCUCAUUAAUUACUUGCCACAUAAGCAACAAUUUCUUGAAGUGCGCUAUGUUACUAGCUAAGUUACUCCCACUAUGACUAGCCUAAAACACAUCUAGAUGUACCCUAAACAUAUCCAUUAAUUAACUCAUCUCUUUCAAGCUUAUCCUUGUGCAUGUCAUCAGUGGCGGAGCCAGAACUUUUGUGAAGCCUGGGCGAAUUUGAGACUGAGUGUCGAACCUAGAAACCAAAAUCGGGUGUUCGGAUACACAAUAUAUAAAACGACAUCAAACUUUUAAACCACAAAUCCACAUUAAUGAUGUGGUGAAAAUAUAACCAUAGAAAUCAUAUAAAUGUAAUUUAUAGUGAAAUAAGUGUCACUGAUUUUGUACCAAAUUAGUGUAUAAAUUUUAAACUAAAGCAUUGACACUUAUUUUGGGGCGGAGGGAGUAUUUAUUUAGUUUCAUAGGCCAAAAUAAAGUUGAGACUUGAAAACAUUAAGUUAUAAAACCAGGCUUGCGACCAAACUCGUCAUAUUGCCGGCGGAAAUAUAACUAUCCAAAUUACCAUUCAAAUGUCCUAGAAGACACUAUAAGAUAGAAAUGGAUUUGUAAUUCACAUAAAUUAAGUAUUGUGAUUUGUGAAUAUAUUCAAAUUAGGGAGCUUGCAACCGUCUCACGAGGCAAUAUGAGAUGGUGGUUGUGGCGUACUUUCAGUGCCAAGAACCUCCUUGUCUCUCAGAGUUAAUAAUUUGAAGUUUGAAAUUAACAUCAACUAUCUAAAACAUACCCCUAAACGAAGGAUUAAGCUCAUAAAAGUGGUGAUCAUCUCCAAUGAUCAAUUCCCCUCGUCGUGACCUCAAAAUAAGUCUAUUAAUCUAUUCACAAAGAAAACUAUUAAUCUCACCUAAUUACAAAGACGGGGACAAGCGGCCGUUAAUGCAAACCGUUCCUUGGGGUCUUGGGUGGAUACUUUCUGGCUCCGCCCCCGUGGCCGGCCGCGCGCUCACUGAAGGUCUGUCUCUGUCUCUAAUCGAUGAAGGAUGCCGCCAUUUUUCAAAUAGAAGCUAAACGAACGGGGAGUCCCAGGGAGGUUGCCUUCUCGUCUCGAGUAAAAGAAAGAACAAUCGAACCGAACAAAUAGGCUCGUCUCACGUGGGUACUCGUAGCCCAUCCGUCAAUGCUUAAUUGAAUAAUUGAUUAGUACGGUUGACUAGAGAGAAAAUUAAUGGAAGCCCAUUGGCCCAGCUGCCCGUUGCCCGGGUAAACCGCCGUGCGAGUAGUAUUUUCCCUGUUUUGAUACCACCAUCGUAGCAUGCAGCGCAGCUAGCGAGCCCGGGCAACUGCCCAGGCUAGCCGGGCGGUGGCUCCGCCACUGCAUGUCAUCCUUCUACGAUCUAUAGAGGAGGGGAGUGAUUCGUCGCACAUAUGACACGGUUGGUUAUGGCAGUAAAGACAUGUAGUUUCUUUAAAUGGAAUUAGGGAAGAAAUCUUUUUUUAGAAUAAAAAAACUAACACAAAAGUAAAACUGUGACGUGAAAGCACAAUUAAAGAAGGAAAAUGAGAUUGUAUCUUUUUGUAUAAUGUGACUCUUGUCAUCGUAGUUGAAGCGAGUUAAUUGACAUUGCGAUGUUGUGCGCGUCCCCAUCCCCACUCAUGCUCGUGUGUUUCUUCCAACUCUCUUCUCCCCCACGCGCUUCGUCGUGAACAAAUACCCGAAGAACUUCGUUAUCAACACGAAAUGCAAGGGCAAGGCGAUCUUAGAGCAACUCUAACAGAAUCGCCAUAUUCGCCAAAAUUGCAUAAUAACUGUCAUAUGUAGCACAAACCACAAAAAACAAACUCUAGAAGAGUUGUCAUACCUUUCAAAAUCACCAUAUGCUUUGUAAUGGGAGCUCCAUAUUUGGUCUCCAGCCUCCAUAUUUGGAGUACAGGAGGGAUACCAUGGGUUGCACUCCAUAAUUUCACCCACGUGGUGGGAACGUGGCGGGACGGAAAUUUCAUGGUAGGUGGAAAUUGGUCCCCACCUACCAAGAAAUAGGUGUCCAAUGACAAACAGAAUCCCACAUGAAAAGUGAAAUAUGAAGGUUGUAUUUUUUAGCGAUUGUGACUUUCGCUCCACUAGCUCUUGAGUCUUCAUGUUCUUUGACGAUUGUCUUCAUCGUAUUUUUGUCAAUGACGAUUCUACUAGAGUUGCUCUUAGAGUUUGUGUCGUUGGUUUCCUUGCUCUCCUUAUAGGGAAUCACGAACCGGAGCAAAACAAGUAACUUCACUACUCAUUGAGUUACACAUUUACAAGUGGGAUUUGAAAAGAGCAACAAAAGUGUUCCUCUAGAACAAACAUGGAGACAACGCACGGCAUCACGAUGCCAAUUAAUUAACACGCUUUAAACUUACUUUCGAUCUCCCGUUGCCGCUCACGAUUGUAUAUGUGAUUUGUACAUGGGGAGAAGCAUCUGUAGGGGCUGGCUUUGGCCUACCCAUUGGCUGACACUGACUCAGGAGAGGAGAGGUGAUGCUGCUGCUUGGCUGUGGCUUCGCUGACAGGCGAAUGCAAUCUUUUUUAGGGUUCAGAAGUUUGAAGACACGUCUAUGUAGGUUGCCCCCAAAAUUACCAGAGGAAACUUACGCCAUCAUCACGUCGACGGCAGUUUAUAUAUUUUCUUUCUUGUACUCUCUUUGACAGUCCAAGCCGUGCACGUGUAAUUACUAAUUUAUCAAGACAACAAAAACAGAGGGGUAAAAACAAGCAUCAUCCCAUUUGUUGCAUCUGUCUUCAUCAUUAAACCUAACGGCGUACAAAAACUCCUGCCAAUUGUUGGCAGCCCACAUCAUACAGUUGUAAUACAACCUACUAAUUCGCACCCCCAAAACCUGCGCUCGUCAUAGGCUCGCACUCCGCAGCAGGGGCGUCUUUCUUGUCGUCUUCACCCUUGGGUUCUUCGCCCUCGGCUUUGCUGCCAUCGCCAUCUUCGUCGUCCGCGGGGGAGGCAUCCUUCAUCUGGUAAUCCACCUUGAAGUCGUAGUCCGCGUCCAUGUCGUUCAGCACGCUGAACUUGUUCCCCUUGCGCCGCUUCUUCUCCGCUUUCUUCUUGCGGGGGUCGAGGAUGCCCUCGGCGGUGUACAGCUUGUCGUGCUGCGUGCCACCACUCGCCGCCGCCUUGCUUCCUUCACGGUCGUUCGCGUCGGACAUCGAUUCGUCCUUCACAGGCGCACUCUGCGUCAGGGGAUCCUGUUCAAUGCAAGACAAAUAUCAUCUAGCUGUACUAGUAAUAUGCAACUUGAAAGUUAACUUAGACGUCUCCAACACAAGAGAUACCCAAAGCCUGCUUCUUUUCUGUCUACCAAAGCCUUUGACAGGUCUACAGUUUAUAACUUGCUUAGUUAGAAUUAGAACAUGGCAAAACAAGCAUAUGUAGGAACUAAAGUGUAGGAUACUGUCAAGAAAGGGGUAGCUGACUGCAAAAAUCUACAAUAAUAACAUUGCUGUUUUAAUUAAAGGAAGACCACUGUAGCUGUAAGAAAUACCUCGAGCAUCGCUUCAUCAAUCUCUGGUGGGGCAUUAGAUGGAAUUUCAAUAUGACUGAACUCCUCCAUAGAUUUUAGACCACUAAUAUAUGAAGACUCAGCUUUGUAAAUUUCAUCAACAUUGAAUUCACUUCCAUCUUCUGUGAUAAUUACCGCAUUGGCGUCCUCCACAACAUCCCUUUUAGGUGGCAGUGUAAAGUAGGGUACCUUGCCUAAUAACAAGAGGGUUAGAUGGCUUGGAAACAAAAUAAUAAUUAACAAUUACAGGAUAACUUGUCAAUUGUACCUUCAUUCCAGUCAUGAAUCACUAUUUUUGCAGCAGCUUCCACAUCCACUAUACCACCUUUUUUCAAUUUCCCCCUGAGUGUAGCAAGUUUUUGAAGGAAAUCAUCAACUGAAGUAAAGCUUGGCACCUUGUACAGAGACAGCAAUUUCUCGUGUGGGCAAAGACUGAUGAUUUCUUUAACUGCAAGAAUGCAAUAAAUAUGGAGUAAGUCAUUGGAUAAUGCAUUUCCAGGUAUACUACCGUACUAGCUUGUUGUCAGAUUAGUAUCAGCAAAGUAAACUACAAGUACAGUAACUGGGAUGAAUAUAAAUUAUCUAAAAGCUGGCUUGAGUGAUGAUAAUGCACGAUAACACCUACCAGGAGUGAUUACAUCGUCCAUCUUCUCAACUCUUUUGCAAUUACGAAGAGCUACAGACACACCACUGCUGGUAGAUCUGAGCAUCACAACACCAGGACAAUCCAACAACUUCACCUUCUUGUCUAACUGAACCUCCUGCAUUGAUCUAGUAACCCCUGGAGUAGAACCGACAUUAACCACACGGGACCUCUUCAAACUGUUGAUUAGACUGCUCUUGCCAACAUUAGGAAGGCCAACAAUACCCACAGUAAUUGCCAACUUGAGCUGCAAGCACACCCCAAUAGUUAAAUUUAGGCACAGGACCACUGUAAAAUCAGGAGUAGUUGUCAAAAUGUCACGACGAGAUUAAACAGUCCACACAGAAAAUUUAGGUGCGUGCAUGAAAAUAAAUCUGUCUGUCAAUGUUGAUAUGGCUUCCAUGGAACAGGACAAGACAAAAGGACAAAAUCUAAUAGCAUGAAGUCAGGCAAAUCAUAUUUGGUCUUAAUAAAGGAUGGAAUUUUCAAUGUAAAUAAGAUAAGAAAACUAUAAAUCCUAAGAACACAGGUGAAACUCCUAAAUGAAGCUAGAUAAAUACACACAAACAAAGACAGUCUCCGGUCAUCUCUAAAAACAUCAAGAUAGGAUACCUCAUGACUCCUGGAAUAAUUUUUUAGCAGUUUAAUCAGGUUCUCAGCACCAAGACAAUCACUGCUUUGUGGGAUAUUGCUUGUUUUAUCAAGCUUUGACGAUUUCCAUCCCAGCUUGGUCCUCUGCUCUUGAGUGUUGCACUUGUAUGCAACAGUUGGCAAUUCCUCCCUUAGAUAUGAAAGCCACUUCUCUACCGACUCCUUGGGGACAAGAUCUACAAUCGACAAAAAGGAUAACCAUAAGAUGCAGAAAGACAGGAAAGAUCACACUGAUGAUAAAGUCAUCAAAAGUUACACUAUACCUAUCUUGUUGAGAAGCAGCACAAUCCGUUUAGUUGGAUCAGCCUUCCUGACCAUCUUCUCCAUGUCAACGCAGCGAGUGCCCAGUGGGUCCCUUGCAUCAAGAACCUCGAGAAUCACAUCGGAAGCUUCGAUGACUUUAACCAGCUCCUUGUAGAAGGCUCUCUCUGAAUGGUCUGGAGACACAUUCAGCAGCUUUAGUAAAUAAUGUUCAUGCAAGCAGUAGGCCGAAAAACACCGGCAAUGGGGGAAAAGAAGCUAACCAUUGGUCUUAGGCACCGCUAAAGCAGCAGUCACCUCUGCUGCGUCAUUGUCAUUAGCCAUGUCUUCAUCGUCGGGUAUUCCGAGCUUUCUCUUCCUAGCCUGAAAGAGGAGGCCACAAUAUUUGAGAUCAUUGUUCAACUUCUGUGAACAUUAAUAACAGACUUCUGAAGGUAGACAUCGCGAAGGAAAUCAACUCUCAACAUCUAGCCAACCAAUCUAUCUAAGCAAGCAUCUAAUGACACCUAGGGAAUUGACACUAAAAAAUAACUAGAUCAUCAAGGACGACUACAAAUUUGCUCUCAUGACACCGACCGAACACUGAGGAAUUGGUAGCGGCACGCCAGGGAAGUUAACGGCAGAGGCGGGUGGUUGCUUACCCUCUCCCUGCGGGCCUCCUUCUUGUCCUCCUGCUCCUUGAUGGCCAUGGCGCGGCGCACCUCCAGGUUCUUGAGCUCCUGCUCCUUGAAGGGCCACUCGUUGGGGAUCCCGGGGUCCUUCUCGACCUUGCUCCGGCCGGUCUUGCCCUCCUUCCUCGCCUCCUUGCGCUUCUUGCGGUGGUGCUCCUUGACCUUGCGCAGCACCUUGUGCUUCGCCUUGAGCGUGACCCGCUUGCUCUUGCUCUUCUUGCUCUUCUUCGGCAUCUUGCCGCCGACGACGACGCCGCUGCGGGGUGGGGUGGCGAGGAGGAGGGGAGAGCCGCCGCCGGUGGAGGGAGGGAGAGAGGAGGAGGAGGAAGGGAGAGCCGGUGGCGACGAGGAGGUAUGGAUGGCUCUGGCGGCUGGUAAGCAGGGGAGAGGUGCUAGGGUUUAGGAAGACGGCAGAUGGGCCUUGAGGUACGCUGCGUGUGCGGCCCGCGCUAGGGCGGCACCGCCCACCUGGGCCCUCUACCACCCCGAUGUUGGCCCAAACAGAAAAGCACCCGUUUCCCCCUCCCGCAGAGUGGGCUGGCCCCGUAGCGUUAAUUUGUUAGCAUGCGUUCUUUGUUUCGUCCUGUUCUUCUUUUUUCUUUUAUUUUACAUUUGUCUUUUUUAAUAUGCUAGUAAAUACUUAUAAUUCAAAAAUUAAUUGAGUUCAAUCUCUAAAAGGGAUAUAAUAGUGUAAAAUAUUGAUAGCAUUAAAAAAAUUAUGACAUUAAGAAAAUAUUCACAUGUUUCAAAAAUAUGUUUGUGACAUUUAAAAAAAGUUCACAUACAUUUUAAAAAUUGAUAUUUAAAAAUUUUCACGCAUUUUUCAAAAGAAAUGUUCAUGAAUAUUUAUUAAAAUGUUUAUACAAUGCAAAAAAAUGUUCCCAUUAAUAUUUUUUAAACGUUACAUGACAUUCAUAAAAAAUGGUCAAUGUGUAUUUGAAACAAUGUUUAACAUGUAUUGAAAAUAUAUUCAUCAUGUGUUUGAAAAAUAUUCAAGUGUACCGUGUAUUGGAAAAAAUAUAUGAAAAAACUAAAGAAAAUCUCUCCUGCUCCCUGACUCCUCUCCUUGGUCUUAUCGACUGUAUGGACAUACAGGAGAAUUGGAGUGGGACUUUUUAAACUUUGGAACUUUUCUCAAAUUUGCUAGAAUUGCAACGGUACCUAUCAAAUUAACUCAGAAAAACAAACUCAACUUAGAGCAACCCUAUACGUUCAUGCCUCCCAUUGUACACACCAAUUUGUUUUUUUUUUCUUUUAAUAAUAGGAAAUUUAUGUCAAUACCAUUAGUCCCUCCUCAAAUUUUACCAUCACAUUGUUUCUUGGAAAUAAUAGAAACUUGCACGCUUCUAGCACAUCCAAGCAUCUUAGAUGCCUAAAAACUUCAGAUUUUUCUUUUGCUAUUUUUUCGAAUUUACUGUUCAUCGAGAGGAGCCUGGGCUCAUCUGUGGAUUACCAUUGCAAUUUACCUUGUCAAACAAUUAAAUACACAUCGCUCCCCUCAAUAGAUUCUGCGAACCAAAUGGCAGGCAUUCUAUGUACCUUAUUAUGGCAGCUACAUCUACAUCUACCAUGAACAAACGUGUUCAGUAACCGUGGUUGCAAGAACCCUUCCUAUGCAUCGCCCUGUGAUUCCAUCUGCACCAUAAACCUUUCCACAUCCGUCCACCAGUCAGCAUCAUCACAGCCGCCAUCCUCCUGCGCAUACACACACAUAUCAGGGAUCAUGACUUCCACCGACCAACUUGGGGCAGCAAAAGCGAGAAGCGACACAAACUACUAACCAAGUUACAAGAUGCAGGAGGAGCAUGAUCGACAUUCUCGACACUGUCAGCAAACUUCACCGCUUCUUCCCACCAAUCAGGAUCCUCCUCCUCCCCGCUCCCCAUAACAGAGUUAGCAUCGUUUCCGCCGCCUUCCAUAUUGAAUUCUACAACAUUCCCUUGAUAAUCUCUCCGGGCUGAUCCGGCUAUGGAGGUGGUGAGCUCAGGAAUCACAUCUAAGGGUACGGCACGCAGUGGAGAACGGUACCCUGUUCAUUCCAAAGCACUCGUGUUAAGAGGAAAUGAUUAUAGUGAAAAAGGAGAGUUACUGGAACAAUCGAUGUUCCUUUCUUACCUCGACAAUCAGGGUCAUAACACUUCUGGUAAUACGCAGCUCUUUGGAAAUCCACAAUGUACAUAACUGGUGCACCGUCAGUCAGGAUUAGUGAUUAGCUAAUAUGCUAACAUGAAGUAGUGACAAACUUCAGAAAACACACCUACAUGUGCAGGCAAUGUUGCUUGCAAGUAUUCAUCUAAACUGAAAACAUGUCACCGACACGCAGUUAACGUUUCCUACUUUGAUCAACUCUGUAGGGUUUGUGAAUACUUUUUUGCAAAAAAAUUCAUUGCAGCUAUUAUAGGCUAACUACUUCAAGCAUCCUCAUUAACAGAAAAUUAUGAUAAUAUGCACUUACGAUGAUUUUGCAGCAGAGUGAACUAGCAGAUGAACACAACAUGAGAUGAUUGUAAUGCUUAACAAACAUGUCAAGUAUUAUUUGGUUAAAUAUUGUAUACUAAAGGCAAAGAACAUAACACAAAAGAUUUGUUGCAGCAGCACAUGGCCAUUAUACAUUUGUUCUUGCAAAAAUGCUAACAGUAAAUUAAGGGUGAACACAUGAUGGUACAAAUCCAAACAACACUGUAGUAGCAUACAUAAAGUACAGUAUAAACUUAUGGUAUUUUCUCAACUAACUGAUUAUGGUACAUUUGCAAGCAGCAUCAACAAAGUAAUGCACUGCUGUGCAAGAAAGUCAUAUACAGAGAACGGUAAAAUGUUACCAUGAUUGCUUUUAUGCUCUCUUCCAAUAUGCUCACAGUAUCUACUCCUUGACAUGCUAUAAAUCAUUAAACCAUCUUGGGAAAACCAGUACCAGCAUCGAAUUUUCCCUGCAAUAAUAAAUAAAUGUUUAAGUAGUGAUGAAAGAGUAAGACUUGCAUUUCCAAAAAUGCAGCAUUUAUUUGCUUUCAGCAUAAAAUUAAUUAAAUAAGAGUACUAUAAGAAAUAAUCUCCUAAAAAUAUAUUACAACAUUAUCUGCGGAAACACCAAUGCUGUGAAGCCUUCAGCAAAUGAAACAGCGCAGCAAAAGUUCAGGAUUAAUGACCAGAAACCAUUCUUUUUUAUUUUACUGUAGAGGGGCUUAGUUAGACACAUUUCCAACUGAAGGUAGUGUCACUUGCAUGGCCAGCAUGCUAGUGUAACAAUGUGCCGUAUUCAUGCAGCACCAAGGCAGCAGCAGCACACAACUAGACAGCAUACACUCAGGUUAUAUUGCCAUUGAAUGGUUUUUAUUCUGAAGAACAGGGUACUAUAGGCAUAUUGUGGAACCAUGUUCUUUGACAGGACUGCCCACAAACACACAUUUCAGAAUUUCAAAUAGACUGCCGGAGGCAGACAAACCUGUUGAAACUGAGUCUUGUAUAACACAUAAAUGUAUGCUAGAAAAAUAACCACUGUCUCAAACAAAAAUAGUCCAUCCAGAAAUGGAAGGUGCAACGCUUCUCAAGAUUUAUUUCUGGCUAAGAAUUUGUUCAGUAGCAUGUGGAUUACGUGAUACAAGAUCAACAUCAAUGGUUCGUAGUAUAAAAGCACUUCUCACCGAUAUCGAUUUUGUAUCAGAUAAUCUACAUAUAGUUGGACUAAUUGCUGGUCAAAAUCAUGUGCCUCAUAUUUCUGGAUGAAGGGAGUAGAAGGAUAUCUGUGAGGAAGAACCAAAAACCUGAGACACUUCCAAAGGAAGCUAUAGAUUCAAUAAAACCGUCCAGAGCUGGAAAAGGAGAUCUCCCGUAAGUAUAUGCUUGAGGAAAAUCACUUCGGUAAGUAUCAAUGGCAACCCGGCAGUUUUUUACUUGAAUCUAAGAAUGGCACAUUAGAGAAAAAAUCAUAUAUAAACUCAACAUAGUAAAAAUACAUCAGUAAUGAAACCACAAAUACUCACUCGUGUAACGCUGGCUUCAGUGUCAAAAUGUAAUGCUUUCUUGCAUUCCAAAUCAAGUUUGCAGAUCAAAAGCUUAUCGCAGUCAUCAUCUAGUCUGCAAAUAAGUGACUCCAGGAAUAGUUCCUUGUCAUUCUGUAAACGAGUAGAACAUCAUAUCAGCCUAUCAGAUGCAAUAUUGAGAUAAACCUCGCAAGUUUGCAUGUGGUCAACAGUGGGUAACAUUAGGGGUAAAAGAUAAUGACGCUAUGACAGGAAAAGGGAACCAGAGACUGUAUAGCAUCACCAUCACAUGAAAACCUGCACCUGUCAAGUUGAUUUGUCUGCAAGACUGCAAGCACAUAGGGACUGCAGUGCAGACAAAAAUCUAAUCGCCGACUGCAUUUCAGCAUUCAUUUAAAUUCCUCAUGCCAAAAGAUAUUAAAAACUGUUGACACAAAACACAUUUCGAAGGUUGCAUGAGUUGAUACUCGAUUUUGAUUUCAAAAAAGAGCUGCCUGCACCAGCCUAUUUUUAAAAAGCUGGUUUGGGAUGAAUUCCCAGGUCAUUUAUGGAACCUCAUUAAGUUACAUCAUAUUUGGAAAUAGUGCUUCAAAAUUCAGAUAUAAUACUAAAUUCUUUAUUUUACCAUCUGCAAUGCAUUGCCAUUUUAUAUUUUUAACUGACAAUGCGAUAAUAGUUUUCUCAUGGAAUUUCCAGAUUUGUUACAUGUACACAAGAGAACCGAGUGUCACUCAUUUUGGCUAGGUGCAUGUCCACACCUACCCACGCGCCUUCGGGUCCUGGACUCCGCGGGCAUCUCACAGUUUUCUCCCAUUUCUAAAUAAGAAAUCUGCAGGGUACUAGCCCCUGUAGGUCUAGUUUUUCUCUUCUGUUACAUGUACAGAAUGCAUCUCUUUUAUUAAAAGAAAAGUCACAAGGCCUAGUACCUGUAAAUCUAAUCUUUUACACAUAAUUUGUACAUGUAAACACAUAGUUCAGAGCUUCUCUAAAAAUAUUAUUGUUUAUAUCCCGAUCAGGGUGCUCCAUCCCGAUCGCGCCGGUCCAGAAUAGGGAGAUGAUUGGGAUGGAGCACCCUGCAGCCGGCACACCACCUUCCCCUUCGCUUCCAGCAUGACAAACUGCUGUUGCGAGAUCUCCGACGGCAGAGCCGCGCCCUCUGGCCAGCAGGACACCGUCCUGUUUCCCCGCAGCACGCUAUUUCUACACUCCAUUGGGCAGCAGGAGACGGGCGGCGAGCAACAUUACACACACCAGCUCGCCCCAAGCCACACCGCAGCGUGUGCUCCAUGCAUCUCCCGCAACGGNNNNNNNNNNNNNNNNNNNNNNNNNNNNNNNNNNNNNNNNNNNNNNNNNNNNNNNNNNNNNNNNNNNNNNNNNNNNNNNNNNNNNNNNNNNNNNNNNNNNNNNNNNNNNNNNNNNNNNNNNNNNNNNNNNNNNNNNNNNNNNNNNNNNNNNNNNNNNNNNNNNNNNNNNNNNNNNNNNNNNNNNNNNNNNNNNNNNNNNNNNNNNNNNNNNNNNNNNNNNNNNNNNNNNNNNNNNNNNNGUCAAUCGAUGCUUAAUCGUGUGAUUCGUGUUUUCUCUAAACAGACUUUUGGAUGCUGGUUGAUUUUUGAAAAAAAAAAGUGGUGGUUUUUUUACUCAGUAGACACAAUUAUGGUGUUUUUUUGCAAUUAAGUCAUCCAUUAAAACCAUAUCUUUUGUCUAGCAUAAAACGAGCCUGUGGUCAAGAGCUGCUUACCAUGUUCUUACAUUUGAAACGUCCAGUAGCCACAAGAAAUGAUUUUUUCCCAGACUUUGACGAGAAGGCUAAACGGAAGCAACGAUUACGAGAGUAUACAGCAGUAUCCACAAAGAGCUGAUCAGCAGGUUCUGCGCCACUGCUAUCUUUUGUAAUAUACAGUUUAUCAAGGUUGGGAUUGGCUGCACGUUGAGCGGCAAUCCGAGAGCAGAUCUGUGGAGAAGAAUAAUAUUUCAUUCUGGAAGCCACAGGAAGCAAUACAGUUUAUCAAGGUUAUAGAACAUGCAACACAAUCAAACUCUACCCUUGAACCUCAAAGGAUGCAAAAAAAUCUAUUUCUCAGAACAUAAACCCAUUGCCUAGAAAACAUCUUAAGCAUGUAUUGGAAAGCAUAUAAUCUCCAUUUAAAUUCGAAGUUUUCCUUUUGUUUUUCUAACAUCAGUGCUAUAUUUUCAUUACAAAAGAAAACAGAAAAUGAAUUUAUUAGCUGCCAGUCCUGAAAUGUGGCGAAUGAGCUCUUUGCUUCGGUCUUAAUCUUCGAUUUGUUCUUUUUGUCCCUCUUCCUUUGACUUGUUGACCAUGAUGGCCUGCUUAGGCCCAUGAUAGCUUGCUCGGACUUUUGUUGACUGUUUUGACUCGUGUUGACCACCUAUGCACAUGCCACAACAAAAAUAUUCUAGAAUCCCCCCCCCCCCCAAAAAAAGGAAACAGAAACCACACUAUCCAACUAUUUAAUUAUCUUGUUGAACAGUGACAGCCAUGUUUUCUAGAAGAUAACAUGGAACCCGUUUAUCAAGGGGCUUUCAAUCCCUUACUGAAAGAAUGAAAGGAUUGUAAUUUUUCCUCGAUACAGAAGAGGUUUUGAUUAAAUAAGUUAUCAAGUAUAGUUUGAGUACUAUGUUCUAUGUUAUGCUUGCUCUAUUGGUGGCUCACUGCUAAUACAAUACACAUUAAACAGACGUUUCGCAUAUGUACUUCUACCAUGUACUGUUUAGAACAUUGCUAAAAUGUAUAAAUUUAGAAUUGUUGCUUGCUUGAAUAUUAACCAGUACAGCAAGCUGUGUAGCAAUUGACAAAAAUAAAUAUAACCAGCAUAACAAGGUAUUCAGCAACUGAAAUUUAUAAAUUUACAGAAAACAGCAAAACUAAAGAUUGAGAUUGAAUAAUACCUCAGAGAUAAAUGCACCAACAUGGGAGUUAUCCUUGAAUGCAGUCUUUGGUAUACGAAUGAUCAAAUGGCGCGAAAACUUUUCUAAGCAAACAACAAUAGUUGUCAUGUGAGUACCAUUAAGCAGCAUACAAGUUCACCAUGACAAGAGUUUAGUUAUAACAAAGAAAACUAAAAAAUACAUGGAAAUCUUUGGUGCAAACAAAUUUGAAUAAUAAUCAAUAAGGGGCAACUUCAAUCUGCUUUCACAUUGUUCUACUUCUCGCAACUCCUUGCUUGUAGAAUAACUUGUUUGUGGUGGAAAAGGCCAAGGUUUUUGAGUCGCCGACUAAUCGCCGACUAAUCGCCAAGUCGUUGGAGCGAGGUUGGCUUGCGCAGGCGACUUGGCUUGAGGAGCGAAUCGCGCGGCUGGUAGGCUAGUCGACGAUUAGUCGACGACUAGUCGGGCGACUAGGACCUCAGAGCAGGGCGGCUUGCUUCAGCAAGGCCAAGGGAGGGAAGACUGGGGAGGUGAGCAGGCCAGAGUUCGAGGGAGGGGAGGAGGAGACAAAGCUGGAGAGUGCGCCGCCUGUACGAGGAGAAGCACGGAAGAGACGAAGGAGAAAGGCACAUGGGAGAGCAGAUGCACGGUCCAGAUUAGAGCAUAUGGACGGUUGGGAUUUUAUUUGGAAGCUAGGGUUGCAUAAUGGGCCUAUUGGGCCAGCUCUCUAGCACGAAACAGAGGAGGAGCAAGACGCGUGCUCCCAUCCCACAUCAGAAUCGCCGCCUCCAUUGCUCCUACGAGCUGCUGCUGCCUUCUCCGAGCUGAAGUAUCCUCCAAGCAGCUGCCUUCCCUCUCCUCCGCCUGCAACAGCACCUCUUCCCCCUCCUCCUCCUCCUCUUAACACCUGGGGCGACUUGGGGCGAUUAAUCACGACGAGUCGCAGACUAAUCGCAGCGAGCCACUAGUCGGAGGCAUGGCGACUCGACUUAGCUAGGCGACUCAAAAACCUUGGAAAAGGCAUACAUUAAGUGCAUGAAAACAAACUAAUGCUUUAACCAUAUCCACUCCGAUAAUAUAUAAAUCUGCAACUUAUUUUACUACAGCUGUUCUAGAACCGUGAUUAUAACUUGUGCUUGCCCUGUCCUAGACAAAUUACUUAGUAAUAGUACUGUCUUCUUCUUUCUUGUACUCUCAAUGUUAAAUUUUCAAAUUUCUCUGUGGAGAAGCCCUGCACCUUGAGAGAAGAAUACAGGUGCAUCACAACAUGAUUAGGCUGAGAGCCAUGAUGCCUCAGUUCAGCAUUACUAAGAAGUGGUUGCAUACAAUUUAGUUAUGUGAUUUCCGAACAUGCCUAGUGUACACAUCUACUCAAUAAUUAUGCGAGAAUAAUCCUCACAUUAAGUUAAAAGUUACAACCAAUUUUCCAGGGUUAAAACAGAUGCAAAGGGGAACAAACUGGGGCACCUUCAUUAGAUGAGUCUAAUUCUAUGAUCCAUUCUUCUUGUCCUUCGAUGGAAUAUUUGUCCUGCAAGGCACUGAAUGUGACAGCAACCAAUGUAUCAACCAUUUCAUCUGCAUCUCUCUUCUGGUUCAGUUUUGCAUUAAACUCAAGAUCAAAGUAAAUGUGGCAAGGUGAACCCUGUAGCAUCAGUAGAGAUGUUAUAGUCGAUAUCUAGGUUGUGACAAUUUGUGGUAAAAUUCAAGCAUUAAUGUAUGUAAACUGAUUCUUUAAACCAUAAUAGUAUAUUUUUUUCUCUAUGGAGAGUAUUAAUCCCUGGCAAGACAGCUUGCAAACAAUGCACAAAAAACACACAGUUUGAAUAAAGUUAAGGCAAGCAUAACCUGCUUUUCUUUACCAAGUUUAUGAGUUAGGAAUUAUAAAAGCCAGAGAUAAUUAUGUCCUUACGGACUCUUUCCGCGCAUCCUCCCCAUCAUAACAGGGAACUAGAACCUGAAAUUAAGGUGAUAUACAGAAUUUUCUGUGUAGCUACCAUGCAACAUAUAAUUUAUGACCAUCUUUAGGACAAAGAUAUGGAGACUUGCCUCCUGGAUAACUUCAUAGUGAUGGCGAAUCUGUGGAUCCAUAUUAUUGUACCUGGAAGAGAUGUUACCACGGAGCAGAAUGGAUGGGUAUUAUCGAUAUGAUUGGCCAUUUAAGGAAAACAAGACGAAUAUUCAAAUAUGGCACAAAGUAACAGAGGAUGCAAUUUUAUUCAGAGAGCCCAACUUGUUUUGCCCUCUAGUAACAGGAGGUUGCAAUGAAACAACCGAGCAGAAUGAGACAGACAGAUAUAAGCUAUAAGGUAUCUAUGAAAUAGAAAGGGCAACAAUGUAACAAGGUCUCAACCUUCUCCAGAACUCGUCAUAUGUAGACACAAGGAAUCUUCUUUGCCCGCUCAAGUGAUCUUGAUAGAUGAAGACUUUGGUGUGUGCAUGUUCCUUUGAGAACCUUAUUGCCUCAUCUUGCCUAGGGAAUGUAGCCCAAACAACAUCCCUACAUACCCACAAAAAGAACAGCAUUCAGAACAAAACGAGCUCAUUUGCCACACGCGAAUUUAACAUCGACUGAACUAGACACCUGGAGACCAAAUCAGUUUGCUUCUUGAGGUCAAUGUGGAUUUCACGAAGCAGCCUCAAGAGGCUUAUUGGCUUUUUCACUGGAACACCUUGCGGAGAACCGUAGAACACAACUGGAGACAUCUGCUUUCGAUUUCUGAAUUUGAUCGCGGCUGAUGAUGGCUCCCUAUGCUGGAAUGAACAAGGUGUCACAUGAAUUCCCUUUCUCUUUCAUGUUUCUUGUAGUUAAACCACAAGAUCGAACUGAAAAAAGGUCACCUCGCUCGCAUUUCCCCCAGCUUUCCGUGUGGAUGCAGAAGUGGAACUGCUUCCACCACCGUCGCCCUCCGCCGCAGGCGUGACCCGCAACUUCUUGCCCUGCUGACGCGGUCUCACCCUGAACGCCGACUCUGAAUCCCAAUCGAGUCGAAUCGACCAAGUAAGUCGAGAUACAUUCGAGGGAAACCACCAUUUUAUUUAGAAAAAGGAGCUUACGGGGAGGGGAGAUGCCGCAUUUAAAGCAGGCGAAGAGGCGAUCCACAUCGUCCUUCGAAGACCCCAUCGGAUUCGAAUCGAUUCAAAUUCUGUGUGACGAUGUUCUUGACCCCCUUGGUAACUAAGGUUUGUGGUUCUGGGGUAGAAAACUAGAAAUGCUCGUGAGCAGGAAAUUGACUUUUCGUUGGCGCGAAAGGGCUGCUUGGGCGGCGGUCGAAUCCAACCACCGCUCCCUUUUUAAUUUUCUUCUGGGCCGAACAAAAGGAGAAGUAACUUCUUUUGCUUGUUGUCCAUCUACAAUGCAAAAUUGAACAAAAACAAACAAGAUACCAUGCUCAGGGUCUAUACAGUACAUAUAUAUAACUUGAAAUAGCACACUCAAAUAUAUGCUCACUGUCCAUAAACAGAAACAAAUGCAUGCCCACUGCCCAUACGCAAUCAAAUGUAUGCUCUCUUAUGCACGCAAUGAAACCAUAGAAAAGCACAACAAAACCCGGUUGUUAUCUGCAGCAGGGUUAUACCUUUGAUUUUUGAGGGAGAAAUGGGCUGCCUGCCUUGCUGCUUCUAUGCGUCGGCUCGGUGCUCCUAUUCGCUAACUGCAGAUAAAUGGAGAGAUACAUCAGAUCUGGCACAAAGAGGAACAGCAAUGAACACAGAACAUAUAGAUAUGUCGGAUCUUGCAGAGAAACGAGAGCGCNNNNNNNNNNNNNNNNNNNNNNNNNNNNNNNNNNNNNNNNNNNNNNNNNNNNNNNNNNNNNNNNNNNNNNNNNNNNNNNNNNNNNNNNNNNNNNNNNNNNNNNNNNNNNNNNNNNNNNNNNNNNNNNNNNNNNNNNNNNNNNNNNNNNNNNNNNNNNNNNNNNNNNNNNNNNNNNNNNNNNNNNNNNNNNNNNNNNNNNNNNNNNNNNNNNNNNNNNNNNNNNNNAGGCUGCAGCGCUGCCUCUUUUGCUCAGCCGCGCCGCCGCUCCGAUCAGGAACCGCCGCCGCCGCCGCCGCCUUUCGCCUCCGCGGGAGCGGUGAGAUGGAGGAGGAUUUGGCGGGCGCUAGGCGUCGUCCGGCCGAUGCGAGCCCAAAAUCAACCACCUCGCGGGCCGUUGGAUCGGGGCGUUCAAUGAGCGCAAGCUGGACCCACGCUGCAGUACUAUAGAGUGCUUUGAAAAAACCAAGUAAAAACCCAACCAAAUACUCUUUUGGUGUCUUGCUUCGACGCAUCACACCCUUCCUCCCAAGCUGCGAAACAUCUGCGAGCGAGAGCCGUGGAUGGUUACCUUUCGUCUAUCGCUGUCAGCCACCACCACCCCGAUCGCAAUGUUCAUAGCCCUGCCCGCAAACACCACCACCCAGUACCCCUCACCCCCCCUCCCCCAAUCAUGGUUCGAUGGCACACCAUAUCAUCGUGGCAUGCUCUUCUUCGCCAUGACUCGAAACUCCAGGGGUUCAAUUGUCCCCCAAUGGACGAUUUCUGCUCCGGUGCACAUGUGGAUCCUAUGUUGCAAACAGGUACCGUGCCGCUCAUGGUGUGUUUGUUGAGGGUGCUUCGCCCAGAUCUGGUGCAGAUUUGUUUCUUUCAAAUAAAAAUAACAUAUAAACUUUAAAGUUUGCACGACAACAAAACAUUAUAGUGCAACAUAAAUACCAAAUAACAUUCUUUAUUAAAAAAUAACAUUCUAUGUAUUAUGCUAUCCCAAAAAUCCCCACACAUUAUAGCUCUAAAGUUCAUUGAUUCGCGAAGUUUGAGGUCCAUAUAUUGUUUUAUUUGAGAGAAAGAAAAUAAAAUCAUGUAGUUAAUUAGCUAGCAGAAAUCUUAAAGCAAUGUUGGAGGAUGAGGACAAGGGGUAGUGUGCUUGGGCUUGGAAAACCCACUCUCAAUGUGGGCGCUAAGCGUCGUCCGGCUGACGCAGGCCCAGUGAGAUGGACACGUGCAGGCGUCCAUCGCCUGAUCGUUGCAAUUAGUGUCAUGCUUCAACGCAACACCCCCUCCCCUUCCCUACCAUGAACCACCCGUGAGCAGUUGCCUUUCGCCCUCGGUGAGAUUGCGGCCACCACCACCCCAACAUAGGCCCCGGCCUGCAAACAACACCCCCUCCCAUCCCCUCAAACGUGGCCCUAUCGCGCACCAUAUCGUCCGCGACACGCUAUUCCUUUGCCAUGACUUGAAGCUCCGGGAUUUUGACUGUUCCCCCUGUUCAUCGAUGGACGAUUUCAGCUUUGGCGAGCGGCGCAUAUCGCAUGUUGCAAGAAGGUACCGUGAUCUACUAGUCGUGUUUGGUGAGGUUGCUUUGCCCAGAUCAAUUGUACAUCUGAUGAGGAUGCUUCCGAAACCCUAGCUACCUAAUUCUCUCAUACGAGCAUAUGUUGCUCGCGGGAAAAGGCAUUUUGCAACAUCUUAUUGCUUCUGUAGCAGGUAAACCCCAAAAAAAUUAUCUAAACAUUGUAUAUUUUGCCAAUUGAAAAUUUUCAUUAGCAAAAAAGACAGCAAAACACUUGUGCAUCAACUUCGGUCUCUCUGAUUUGCAUCAUUUCCCACGGGACGAUUGCUUAUGCACGAUUGCCCUCUUUUUUCCCCUGUGAAAGAUAUUGCGUACUGUUUUUUUUUUUUGAGACAGCCUCCUGUUUUUUUUGCGAGCAUCGACAGCCUAUUUUGAGAAUUACUGUUUUUUUAGUGGCGAGAAUUACUGUUGUUGAUGGAGCACGGGAAACUAAUGGGCCCUGGCUGGCACGGGUGUGGGCAACAGGGCCGUGGGCCUGGGCUCGUGCGUUCCCCGGGCAAACAAACCCAGUCGCAGCACCGCACCGCGCCGCGCCGGACCGGGUCGGCAGUUCCGCCUCGAUCGCCCUCCUCUCUCUCUGCCGCGAUCGCACGCACGGCGGCACGGCGGAGAGACGGCACACCGCCACGCCCCGACCGGCCUGGCCUCCGAUCUUUCUCUCCUCCUCUGCCCCGCGCGCGCCGGGGCCGGAGGGUCGGUCGAUGGGCAACGCGAGCGGCAGGCUGGAGGACAUCGCGGACGCCGAGAUGGACGAGGGCCGCGGCCACGUGCGGCGCGCUUCGUCUACGGGAUACGUCGGGGGCGUGAGGGGAGGCGGCGGCGGUGGCGGCGCCGGAGGAGGGGGUGGGGGAGGGUCGUCCUCGCCCGGAAGCCCCCCGCGGCCGCACUCGCCGCGCAUGUUCGUGCCCCAGGUCAGUCAGAUCGAUCACGCACGCAUACGUACGUAAUUCAAUCAAAUCCAUCCCUGAAUCCCGCGCCCGGUUUCGAAUCACGUCGAGCUUCUUGCCUCCAAAUCCCCAGUGCGAUGCAACGGCGUGGCUCUCGCCUUAUGCCGCACUGCGCUUCUCGCUCGAUCCGAUGAGAUCACGCCAUGAACCCGAAGGUAUUGAUCGAUUAGAGCGGCUACGGUUAAGUGAUAAUUACGACUACGGUUGAUUUAAGCCCCUAGCUAUCUGUCUAUCGUCACCGUGAGCCUCCAUUGUUAUCUGAAGACGUGCCGUCUGAAACUUCAUAUUUGUGACAGUCUAUCUGAAGACGUGCUGUCUGAAACUUCAUAUUUGUGACAGUCUGACAGAUGAAUGAUUGGUUCAGGUCAGAGUUGAGGGGUAAAAAAAAUACUUAUUGAACAUUUUCCUUGGUGAGAUUCAGAUAUUGAACAGCUUGAUUUCACUUUCCCCGACGAGUGACUUUCAACUAGAAAUCUCCAGCCAGCCACACCUGACAAGUUUUGGUGUUUGCACGAUAGCUGAUACUGUAAAAGAAAAACCACUGGCUGUUUGUGUCUUUCAUUAAUGUGUUUAAUUAUCGAACUACUAUUAGUAAUUUGUUGCAUCCGAAUGCUCAAAAAAUAAUACGGUUGUAUAUCUGUCAGUAGCAUCUGUUCUGAAAAUUUCGUGGCAUAUUUGGUACCCAAAAGUCUGAAUGCCUACUAUCUUGUCAUUCGAUUUUACCCCCCUCGGUCUCAUAUUUGCCACAAGAGACUGCAUAUACAGCUCUUCUUACACAUGAUCCUUAUGAAUUCUUUGAUAUAUCUUGUAUUGCAGAGCCCUGUAACUCCACUGCAAAGAGCUUCAGAUGUGCCACCUCCGGUGUUCAACCAGAUACUGAUGCGUGAUCAGGAUGAUUCCGACGGCCCCCCUCCAAAGAGGAUCCCUACUUUGCUUGUGUGGCCUCAUGGAGGCAAGUGUAUCUUCGUGGAAGGAUCAUGGGAUCACUGGACAUCAAAGUACAUUCUCAUCAACCAGCAGUGACCUUUUCUCCCCAAAACUGAAACUUGAUGAAAUGACAUGCUUGAAAUACUGACAGAGCCAAACCUAUAUGGCAGGAAAACCGUUCAGAAAUCUGGGAAAGACCACACCAUCUUAUUAGAGCUUCCAUCAGGAGUUUACCGGUACAGAUUCAUCGUUGACGGGGAAAGAAGAUACCUCCCCGAUCUUCCCUGUGAGACCGACAACGUGGGCAACAUCGUGAACCUUCUUGACGUCAAUGUGAGUAUUCAUUUAUUCCUGAUCUUACUUACCAUUACCAACCAUAUAUAGCACCAUUCCUGACACUGAUCAAGGUGUAUAUAUAUGUUCACGGUAUUCAUUUGAUCAUCGGUGAUGCAAUCGCAAUUGAUGCAGGACUUUGUGCCGGAAAGCGUGGAGAGCGUGUCGGAGCUGAUGGCGCCCCCCUCCCCGGACUCGAGCUACGGGUUCCAGAUCCCCGAGGACAAGGAGUUCGCCAAGGAGCCCCCCACCCUGCCGGCGCAGCUCUACCUCGGCGUGCUCAACUCGCGGAGCGCGGAGCAGCGGGAGUGCGCGCGGCCAAGGCAUGUGGUGCUGAACCACCUCUACAUCGAGAAGGGGUGGGGCGCGCAGCCGCUGGUGGCGCUCGGCCACACCCACCGGUUCCGGUCCAAGUAUGUCACCACCGUCCUCUACAAGGCCAUCGAGCGAUAGCGCUUACCGUAGCGCAUGAAGCCAGUGCCGCCGAACAGGAGCGAGAGGGUUUUCACCCUUCAUGUCUGCGCCGAUCGGAUCGUGCAUAAUUUGCAUAAAAAAGCUGUAAUUCAUAUAGAGAUCAUGUUCAUUUUUUUGUCGAGAUGACUGGUUUCGCUUGUCAAGAAUAAAAUCAGAGUAACACAAGAUUAUGGAGCGUGUCAGUGUGCAUAUGCCUGUUUUAACGGUGCUCAACUUGCUCCCAACAAAAUCGUUGCUGUUUAUAAUUGCUAGGAAUUUUUUUUUUGAGCGAAUGCUAGAAAAACUUAAAUAAAGGGGAUCGACUUCCAGGGCCUAAUGGAAAGAUUGUAGCCUGAAGGCCCAACAGCGAGCGGCCGUGGUGCCAAAUGGCCCACGGUCCUGGCGAGCCCGAUAAGCGGAAACCUGAAAAGCUGGAGGACCGACUGGCGAAACUGUGCACUCCGCGUCCCAACCGCGUGGAGGGCAUUCCCGUCAUUUCCCCCCUGUUUGAAAGAUGCCAGCGGACAGUGCAUUAUCGAGAAAUUCCUUCCUUGUGCGGCCCCACGUGUCGGCCCCGUCCACAGAGAUGCACGGGCCUUUGGCCCUAACGGAGCGCCCGGUGUUACCAAAUUGCCCCUGGUAGAGCAUGAUCCGUAUAUCUUCAAAUUUACAUGGUUUUAUCAUUUUCUUUUCGCAUUUUUUCUCUUUUUAUCUUCUAUACAUCCUCGUUUUGUGGGGAUUGAUCCGCUAUGUUGUUCACUAUUCACACUUUUCAUAAGGUAUACCAUGAAGUUGCACAUAUAUUUGUCCUCUUAUCCUUUGCUAAGAAAAGGACACCUUUGAAUACAUUUCUAAGCGGAAUUUUUGAAGACUUUUAGACGCGUGAAAGCAACCUGGAAGGAUUCCAUAGACCGUCAAGGGAAAUACUGUGUAGAAACCGCGUAUUUGUUUCCACAAAAAAAUACUAUGCUAUUACGUCAAUCAUUGUCCUCGUGUCAUGAACAUGCAACUGAAUCUUAAUAUCGGCUUAAGCACAAAUAGAUAAAUGUUCGUGGGGAGAAAAAAUAGAGGGGAGCUCAUAAGGAUAUAAAAAAAAAUUGUUUUCGACCCCCUUGCACAUCCACGCGUCUUAUGCUGAGCAACAGACCACAUAACACACGCGCGACACACUCAUGAACUAAUCCAUUAAAUCGAGUCUUCAUCUACCCUACCAGUCCAUGACCUAUCUCAUGUCACUCUUUUUAUGACCUGUAGUGCCUGACAACAUAGCAUACUACACCAUUAAUGCUGUCCUAGGCAAGUAGAGAUAAAUAUUUUCCGGAAAAAAAGAUAAAUAUCGACAUGUUUCAUGUACUUUUGACAUUGGUACACUACUAUUGUACGUGUUAGAGCAUGAUAUAAGAUGAAGAAGGCCCAAUUGCACAUACAUAAAACCAUCAGACAACCGUGUUGAUGUACAGAUGACCCGACUCCAGAGCCCAGCCACAAAACAAGUUGCAUUAUUUUCUCAAGUUAGGUAACGCAUGACUAUUCCAUGAAUUCGUGCCCUGCACCUACCAAAGCACUCCAAAAUGUGCAUUAGAAACCACAAGUGGCAUACCAUCUACUAGCAAAUUAUUGGAGCUGGCCAUCUUAUUUUCUCUGGAGCUAGCAGUGAUAAACAACAAGAGCGUCACGGGACGGGAGGGCGGCAGAGGGGCAGUUUGGGGAAUCCGGCGCGCGGACGCUAACGGCCGCGUUUAGCGGAGCUGACGGUGGGGCGUUGUAUAAAUCCGGCCGGGAAAAUUCCACCGGACGCCACGCCACAGAACGCUCCCGGCCUCUCUCUGUUUGCUCUCGCGUCCGCCGCGCCCAUCCUCGUCCGCGCCUGCGCCCCGACCGUGCUCGCCGCCUCCCGCCCGAUCCACCGGUCCACCACCGCGCCGGCGGCAUGGCGGAUCAGCUCACCGACGACCAGAUCGCCGAGUUCAAGGAGGCCUUCAGCCUCUUCGACAAGGACGGAGAUGGUGAGCGCGUCCCUCCCCCUCCCUUCCGCCUCCCGUCCCCCGGAUCUCUCCUUCGCGCGACGCUCGCCGCCGCGCGCGCGGUGCGCAUUGCCCCCGCCCCUGCUGCGCGUCGAAUUCGCGCCGUCGGGAGGUAGAUCCGGCCCGGAUCUGGGCCUGGCCGCUGGCGGAACCGCGUCGCUGUCGUGCGCGCGCCUAGUGGCGAGUCGACGAUGAUGUGCACGCGACGCUUAUCUUCCCGGUUGACCAUUUCGUGACGGCGACGUCUCGUCGCCGUCUAGGUUUUAUUUAUUUUCCGGAUCGCGUCGCGAUCGCGCCCACUGUUGCUUCAAGAACAGCUAAGCCUGAACGAGUCGUGGUUGUUGACCGUGGACUGUCGCUGUAGCUUGAUCUUUACUGCACUUCGUUCGGUUUAGGUGGUUAAAUUCAUGUAGAGAUCCUUGUACAGAGAAAUCCCGCCAUCUAGUUUUACAGGGAAAUUCUAUGAACGUUUGAUGAUGCUAUGUAGGAAAUUUAAGUAAUUUUGCGAUUUUGCUUUGGAUGAUGUGCCAUGUGGUUGUCAAGUUUGUCUGAAUACCGAUGAUCCUACUGUAGUUGAAAAUCCUUGUGCUGGACUAGUUGCAAGCCGAUAACAUUUUAGUAGUUCCCUGAUUUGUUGAGUUUUCACAGUACUCGUGUAAUGUAGAAGUUGGUUAGUAACCGCGUAGAAGUAUCUCGUCUCGAACGCUUCACAGCGAAGUUAUUGUUGCGGUAAUUUGUUUUGAUGUUAUUCUGUGGGCUUGUAAUCACCUGGGAUAAAUCUAGAUACGCACCUUCCAGCUGAAUUAAUGCAAGAUAUUCUCAAUACUGUACUUAUGCAAGAUAUUCUCAGUAUUGUACAAAUAUGUUUCGAUUUAGCGUCUUAGUACCCUGCUUGGAGAUCUUCUUUACUGCUUUCAAGCUCAUUAAUGGCAAUAAGAACAUUGUUUUUCCUUUUUUUUUCAGAAGUUGAUCUGUCCUGAUUUGAUGUGUAGUGAACAAUCUUUUCCAUUUGUUAAAGAAGAUUUAAUUUGUUUUAUGCAUGGCCAACACGCUGUGUUUGAUCCUGGAGUUGAUUGUAUCUAUCUCUUACAGGUUGCAUCACCACCAAGGAGCUGGGAACAGUCAUGCGUUCGCUGGGGCAGAACCCAACGGAGGCUGAGCUCCAGGACAUGAUCAAUGAAGUCGACGCUGAUGGCAAUGGCACCAUUGACUUCCCAGAGUUCCUCAACCUGAUGGCCCGCAAGAUGAAGGACACCGACUCAGAGGAGGAGCUCAAGGAGGCCUUCAGGGUGUUCGACAAGGACCAAAACGGCUUCAUCUCUGCUGCUGAGCUCCGCCACGUCAUGACGAACCUCGGCGAGAAGCUCACCGACGAGGAGGUGGACGAGAUGAUCCGUGAAGCCGACGUCGACGGUGAUGGCCAGAUCAACUAUGAGGAGUUUGUCAAGGUCAUGAUGGCCAAAUGAGCACCCAACCGUGCUCCCAAGACAGGAGGAGAAUUGUGCAUUGCAUAUUAGUUUAAGAUGCAACUCUUAUUUGAUCGAUUUCCAGUUAAGCAUCCUACCUAGCUGUAGCUGCUAAAACGGAUCGGACGACGCAAUUCCUGCUAUGUUCUCCAGUGUGUUUCCAGACCUCUUGUGUUUUAUGUGAACUUGUGUCCUCCCUGGUGUAUCCUGAUUGCUGUUGCGCCCGUUUGUAGUAUAUUUUUUCAUCAACUUCUGCUUGACUCUUCUAGUAUCAAUGGAAAGCUGGUGUUUCGUAAUUCUUCAACUCUUUAUUAAUUUUACAGGUGUUAUCCUGUGCUUUGGUGCCUGUUUUCGCUUGUGAAUGGCAGAUGAAGAUACAAUUGAUGUAUGUGAUGCUGGAUGAAAUUUGAAAUGUAAAUUUAGCCUUCACAGAAAAGUAUCAGGCUUAAAUGUGCUGCUGGGUAGGUUGCAACCAACAAUCGCUGGAUGAUAGCAACGUUGCAGCCUGUGCCUGUGAGGAGUAGUAGGUAGCAACUACCACCGUGCUCAUGGUCCUCUUAAGGCCUGGAAUUCUCUGUGCUUGUGCAAGAGUGGAACACACGCACACACACAUGGAGCAGGAGAAGAAGCUCAAGGUGCUUUGCCUCCACGGCUUUCGGACAAGUGGGGGUUUCCUGAAGAAGCAGAUCAGCAAAUGGCACCCUUCCAUCCUCCAGCAGUUCGACACGGUUUCUUCCCUCGACUCGAUGAUAGAUCCUGUUUAAGCGCUUUUUGCCUUUUGCUCUGGUUUAAUCCCAAGUUCAAUUCUGCUGGGUUUUUCAGGUCUUCCCUGAUGGCCAGUUCCCAGCUGGGGGGAAGUCCGACAUCGAGGGCAUAUUCCCCCCACCAUACUUUGAGUGGUUUCAGUUCGACAAGGUAUCUUUUCAGUAGAAACCAGGACUGAAAUCAGCACUUCUUCCAGGCUUCAGUUUGGUUUCCAGCUAGCAUCAUUCAUGUGUUCCUACUGCAGGAUUUCACCGAAUACACAAAUUUAGACGAGUGCAUUGCCUAUCUGUGUGAUUACAUGGUGAAAAACGGGCCUUUCGACGGUCUGCUUGGAUUCUCCCAGGUAAAGGAAACCUUCAAAAUAACUACUGUUUGGGGGGUGCUUAUGAUAUUAAUUCCUGAGCAACACAGGAUUUUCUGUGUUGAAAACCUACUUGUAGUAUGUUUUGCUUCAUCUAUUAACUUCUCUUUCCUUCCAGGGCGCAACACUUUCAGCCCUUUUGAUAGGCUACCAAGCACAGGUACUCCUUUUGAACUCUCAGAUUCUGCAAACUUUGAGUCCUCGAGUUAAGUUCCAGAGAUAUACAAAGGAGCCAGAAACAAUGGAUUGGAUCUGCAAGUAAAUAUUGAUAAAUUAACUGUGAGAUCCAACUACCAUUAUUAAACAACAGAGUCCCCGCGAUCUAGCAAUUCAGUUAGUGGUUGAGAGUUUUUUGGCCCCUUUAUCAAUAGGAAACUCCUGUCCAUCCUGACAGAAUAGUAAAUUUUGAUAAAUUUAGCAGCGUCACAUGCCACACUCUAGGAAAGAGGAAGUUAUUCUUCAAGAGCAUAUGCCAAAGAUAUCAUAAUCUUAUGCAGAACAUGUUGAUACAGGCUUAGAUCUGUCUCUAAAUUAACAAUUCUAAUAAGUAUUUACUAGGACAUGGAAAUUUAGGCAGGAAAUAUGGUUCUCAGAGGAAGAUGUCCUCCAAACCAUGUGUCUGCUUCUGGUUCCAUGUGGAUUCUGACUAGGUUGAAUGAUGUAGGGCAAGGUGCUGAAUGAUCACCCACCAAUUAAGUUCAUGGUGUCAGUAUCCGGGAGCAAAUUCAGGGACCCAAGCAUCUGCGAUGUGGCCUACAAGGACCCGAUCAAGGCGAAAUCUGUACAUUUCAUUGGAGAGAAAGACUGGCUCAAAGUACCUUCCGAGGAGCUGGCUUCUGCCUUUGCUGACCCUCUCAUCAUAAGGCACCCCCAGGGUCACACUGUCCCCAGGCUUGGUUUGCACUCUUCCCUGUCUUUCUUCUAUGUAAAUAACUGUCGAAAUUUCUUGUGAAUAGAUUGAGAGGCAGAUUGUUUGUCUUUUACAGAUGAGGCAUCUGUGAAGCAGCUUUCUGAAUGGAGCGCAAGCAUCCUGGAAGAUCUCAAGAACGCAGACGCUCCCAAGGCCUCAAAUUCAGAGAGUUCAGUAGAUAAGGACAAUGUCGGCGUGCAGUCAGCAGAAAACCUGAGGGAACAAGUUGCAGCUUGAGGCAGUAGCUGGACUUCGCUGGUUGAGUUGCGUUGGUGUCUGAAACCUGAUGCUUGCUUGCUUUAUCCAGAUGGCAUACCUUGUUCACCGUAUUAGCCUCAUUGAGAGAUGAGAAUAAAUCAGUCCCGAUUGCCUGUUCUUGUCCUCCCAUGUUCAUUCUUUUUUAUCUUGAUAUCAGUACACUUCGAUGCUACACAGACAAGAUUUUAACCUUUCCUUCUUCAAGGGAAAAAAGAGAGGCACUUGAACCUACUGGUAUAUAUUUCAUCUGCUUCUAGACCACGAAGUCAUGAACCAGCCUAAAGCUCUAUAUACAUUGAGCACAGGACGAAUCUACAAGGAACAAAGGACAACUAUAUACAUGAGAACCUAAAAUACUACUUCCUGAGAAAGACACUCUGCAGCUGCCUUAUGUGGAGCCUCUUUCUUCAACCUCACUCUCGCAAACCCAAACAACAUCCU
rnacentral:lncRNA from 1 species